rnacentral:rRNA from 1 species
UACGUAGGUGGCAAGCGUUGUCCGGAUUUACUGGGCGUAAAGAGCGCGCAGGCGGUCGUUCAAGUCGAGUGUGAAAGCCCCCGGCUCAACUGGGGAGGGUCACUCGAUACUGAUCGACUCGAAGGCAGAAGAGGGAAGCGGAAUUCCCGGUGUAGUGGUGAAAUGCGUAGAGAUCGGGAGGAACACCCGUGGCGAAGGCGGCUCACUGGGCUGACCUUGACGCUGAGGCGCGAAGGCGUGGGGAGCGAACGGG